UCUCAGCCAGUCCACGUUCUAAAAAAAAAUCAACCAAUCAGGAGCAUUUACUUGGACACGUCAGACAGGCCUCACAGUGUGGGCUUCAUCCAAAGUCGAGCAUGUCACCGUGUGGACUUUAUCGUUUUUAUUUGCCUAAUUGGACCCAAAUCAGAAAAUAAACCCGUCGAAGAAUGACGAUUCUCUUCACCUCUACCGCUUCAGCUUCUCCGAUUGAAGAGCAAAGAAACCGUGUAGUAAUCGAGUCACUUCUACACAAUCAAUACUUUCGUUUCAAUCAAUCAAUACCUUCUUAAUGAUUUCGUUUCACUUCCCUCUUUUCCUCCUUUUGUAUAUACUGAUCUUCUUUCCUUCCUAGAAACCAAAACCCUAGAAUCACUCAAAGCUCAAGCCAUGGCGAUGAAACGAAAUGGAAAGUCCCUUGUCUCUUCCGACUGAUGAAAAAGUCAUGUUCUUCAAAGAUGUCUCUCUAAGUCCCCCUGAAACUCAGUUACGCUUCCGACUCAUCAAUUUCUGGGAGGCUCGGAACCCGAUAAAGAAGACACUUAUUGGCCUGAAAAUGCUCCUCAUUGACGAACAGGUACGUCAAUUCUCCAAAAAGUAGUUUCGACCAUUUCUCCAAAAAACAUCACACUCUUUUUUAUUUUCCUUUGUGAUUUGUUAUUCUUCGCAUCGAAUCAAUUUGAGGCUCACGAGAGUCUUAUGAUUUUUAUUAAAGUGUAUUUGAUUUUGUCUCUUAUUCCUCAGUGAAAAUCUUAUUUAUUCUCCUUUCGUGAUUUGUUAUUCUUUAUCGACAACAGGGAACUGUUAUUCAAGAAUUCAUCUCACCAGGACGUAUUAAAAAAUACUUGCCUGAGAUGAAAUAAGGAUCAGUUUACAAACUCAACAAUUUAUACGGAUCGAAAAACAAAUCGGUGUAUCGGGUUGCUGAUCAUAUCGCAACCGUGUCUUUGUCAUGGAACUCUGAAAUGUCGGUUCUUCACGAAAUUCCCAGCUCUUUUGAUGAAGACCGUUUCAGGUUUCAUUCAUAUGAAGAUUUUGAUGCUAACUGUGAUCUCAAAGGUGACUUCUACGGUAAGCUCCCUAAUUUUACAAAUCAUCUCUCAGUUACAUUGCUUUAUGUUUUGAUGUAGUUUUUAGUCUAUCUUCCUGCUUAGAUAAAGAAAUCUAGAAUUUUUUUGGGUUAAGUAAUUAGUUCAAGUUUUUAGAGUUUUUGGUUUGUCUUGAACAUCCUUUGAAGUUACCUUAAAAGAGGCACAUGUCGAUGAAUUAUUUUCGGUCAUUCGGUUUGUAAAGUUAGUAAGUAAUUACCAAGAAUUUUUUAUUAGCCAUCUAACUUACACUCUUCGUGAACAAUGUAAUAGAUGUGCUUGGCCACAUGAAGCUGGUCAAUGGACAGACUCUUAUUGAGCUCCCCAUCCUUGACGAAGUGGAGAUAGCUACCACUCGACACGUUAUGGUUCACGUGCAAUCACAUGAGUAAGUGUGUUUUUUUUUUAUUUUCAAGUCACCAUCUCUCGGUAUUUCCUUAAUCCGUAAGAGCUUAUUUUUUGCAGCGGACCUGCGAUGAAGCUCUACUUUUGGGACCAGGCUGCAACAGACUUCUGCAAGAAAUUCAACUCCUAUGAAAACACUCCCACAAUGCUUUUGGUCACGACUGUUAACACCAAACGUCUCGGAGGUUACCGAUUCUCUCUUUAGUCUCACAUUUUCACUGAUAACUGUGACAUGUUUUCCAAAAUGUUUGUCAUUGUUCGCUUAUGUGAUACUAACUUAUUAACCACUCCAAAAACGUUUUGUUCUUUGUCAUUGGUUGCUAAUUUAUCAUGCGUCACACAGAUUAUAUAUUUUUACAGACGUAUUGAUCAUAUAUAGCAUGCCGAGUUAGUCCAUUGAAGCAGAGCAUUUAUACAACUUAUAUCUCUUCACAUUGUCAUUUUUAAUGCAAAUUUUCAUUCAUUCAUUUUUAAUGUUUCUUCCAUUAUUGAACAGGUACCCUUGCCUGACUUCUAUGUCCUCUACACGAUUUUUCAUGGAGUAUGAUGUCCAACCAACCAAAGAUUAUUUCACCUGGUAUGUUCCCCCGUCUUCAGCAUCUAUUCUUCACAAGUUCAUGUGAAGCGCACACUUACACCUAUUGCAGUUGACUGAAGCAGUACUUUAUAUUUUGUAUCAGGCUGGGCUCUAACCCAGAGAGUGCUAAGCAUGUUAGUGCAGAGGUGGUCACUAAGCGUGAGACACUGACUAUAGCAGAUAUAUUCUCCUACAUGAAGCAUGAAUCUGCAAAGGUAAAAUUGAAGCUAAAUAUUUCUUACUCAUUAUGAAAAGCUUAGAUAUUUAUAUCACAUGCUUAUACACUGUCGCAGGAUGUCUUUUUUGAGUGCACGGCUACGAUUGGUGAUGUUGUGCAUGGCUCUGCGUGGUACUAUAUUGCAUGUAGUGGGUGUCAUACUAAGGCUACCAAAGGCCCAACUUCGUUGAUUUGUACAAACACAAAAUGUGGGAAGGUUAACACAGCUGGUGUUGCACAGUACUAUGCAAAGAUAUAUGUUUAUGACAACAGCGACCAAGCUGUUUUUGUCCUACUUGGUGAUGCUGGUCGUGAGUUGACUGGGAGGCACGCAUCGGAGUUAGUUAGCAGUACUUUGAGGCUAAUGAAAAUGAAGGAGCUGACCAUGAGGUGCCUGUCCCAGAAGCUCUAAUCAGCACCAUCGGACAAACACAUAAGUUUUGUGUGAAAGUUACAUAGCACAACUUCUCAGGCAAUACUCGAGCUAUAACUGUCACCAAGAUCCUCUCUCUAGACACCUCACCACCCACAUAAGCCUCGGUUGGAAACAGCAUUGCUGCAACGUCCGAGGAAACAAUGCAGACUGGAAAUGACGUGUGUGAACCUUCCAAAAGCCGUGGAGAUUCUGCAGACGAGGAGAGUAAGAGGAUGUGUGACAGUGCUGAGCCAGAGCAAGCUAAACGCCCAAGAUGUGAGAAUUAGAGCUUCGGUUCAUCUUAUCACAUAUUGCAGGCUUCAUUGAUGUUUAAAUCUUUGUUUUUCAGUUUAAGUAUUGACUUGUGAUUUCCUUUCAGUUUAUACUUUUCAGAUUUUUUUUCCUUGCAAACCUAUCCUCUUAUGAAGUGAUGGUUUUUGCUGCAAUUUAAGUACUGUUUUGGUUUAUUAAAAGACUAUGCUUUGUUUCUUUUCAUUUUCAGAUUCUAUACUUAUGUUUACUGAUUUCUUUCUUGAUGUUUGAUGUUUGAUCAUUUUAGUGUUGUUAAAUCUGAGCAAGAUCAUAGAGAAGGAACUGAUUAAACAUUUAUAUGUGGUAGGAUUCGUCAUAACAUAAGUUGUCCCACAUGUCGGGACACACAUAUAUAAUCUGCAGUUUUCACCUUCACAUAAUCCAUAUUAUGUUGGUCUGGCUAGAGUUUUCUGUUUCUUUUUAAAUCAAUUAUACUAUGAUUGCCUAUCAAGAUAUUAUUGAUCGGCUAAGUUUUGUCAAAAUUCCUAGGUUAUGGCUGGUGUUAUGGCUGGUGUGUUGGGGUUUUCUACACAUUUAUACACUAUGAUUUUGGUAGGAUUUUCUACCAAAACACUACAAGAAAACACAAGUUUAGCGAGGAAACUUAACAAGGAAAACUAAUCCUCGUAAAUUUACGUCGAAUUUACGAGGAACUUACGAAGAAAUAUAAAAUCAACGUUAUAUCCUCGUAAAAUAACGACGAAAUCAUUUCGUCGUAAAGUCGAUGUAAUGUCACGUGGCUUUUACAAGGAAAUACGCUUUCCUCGUAAACUCGACGUAAAUGUAGCGUGUACUUUACGAGGAAAUAUUUUACGUCUACUUAGCGAGGAAAUUUUGAAACCACCAACUUUGUAGUUGUAACACGUUUUGUUUUCGGAAACCUAACUAAAUUUUGUCGUAAAUUCCUAGCAAAAUUACAACUACCAGAUUCGAAAAUUUCCUAUAAAUAUGGACGUUUGAACAUCAUU